AUACUAUUUCCUCCGUUCCGAAUUACUUGUCACAGAUAUGGAUGUAUCUAGAUGUAUUUUAGUUCUAGAUACAUCUAUUUCUACGACGAGUAAUUUGGAACGAAGGGAGUACUAC
rnacentral:pre_miRNA from 1 species